rnacentral:rRNA from 1 species
AGGAUUAACGCUGGCGGCGUGCCUAACACAUGCAAGUCGAACGAGAGUAGCAAUACUCUAGUGGCAGACGGGUGAGUAACGCGUGGUCAACCUUCCCUUUAGUGGGGGAUAACUAGCCGAAAGGUUAGCUAAUACCGCAUACGAUCUAUGAGUGGCAUCAUUUAUAGAUGAAAGAAGCAAUUCGCUUAAGGACGGGACCGCGUCCCAUUAGUUAGUUGGUGGGGUAACGGCCUACCAAGACUCCGAUGGGUAGCUGGUUUGAGAGAGCGACCAGCCACACUGGGACUGAGAAACGGCCCAGACUCCUACGGGAGGCAGCAGUGAGGAAUUUUCCGCAAUGGGCGAAAGCCUGACGGAGCGACGCCGCGUGUGGGAAGAAGGCCUUCGGGUCGUAAACCACUGUCGAAGGGAAGAUAUUGACGGUACCCUUGGAGGAAGCCCCGGCUAACUACGUGCCAGCAGCCGC